rnacentral:rRNA from 1 species
UACGUAGGGUGCGAGCGUUAAUCGGAAUUACUGGGCGUAAAGCGUGCGCAGGCGGUUCGUUGUGUCGGGUGGUGAAAUCCCCGGGCUUAACCUGGGAAUGGCCAUGGAAACUGGCGAACUGGAGUGCGGCAGAGGGGGGUGGAAUUCCGCGUGUAGCAGUGAAAUGCGUAGGGAUGCGGAGGAACACCGAUGGCGAAGGCAGCCCCCCUGGGCUAGCACUGACGCUCAGGCACGAAAGCGUGGGGAGCA